GACGAACGCUGGCGGCGUGCUUAACACAUGCAAGUCGAGCGGUAAGGCCCUUUCGGGGGUACACGAGCGGCGAACGGGUGAGUAACACGUGGGUGACCUGCCCUCAGCUCUGGGAUAAGCCUGGGAAACCGGGUCUAAUACUGGAUAUGACUCCAUGACGCAUGUUGUGGGGUGGAAAGCCUUGUGCGGCUGAGGAUGGGCCCGCGGCCUAUCAGCUUGUUGGUGGGGUGANGGCCUACCAAGGCGACGACGGGUAGCCGGCCUGAGAGGGCGACCGGCCACACUGGGACUGAGACACGGCCCAGACUCCUACGGGGAGGCAGCAGUGGGGAAUCUUGCGCAAUGGGCGAAAGCCUGACGCAGCGACGCCGCGUGAGGGAUGACGGCCU
rnacentral:rRNA from 1 species